rnacentral:rRNA from 2 species
AGCAAGCGGACCUCAUAAAGUGCGUCGUAGUCCGGAUUGGAGUCUGCAACUCGACUCCAUGAAGUCGGAAUCGCUAGUAAUCGUGGAUCAGAAUGCCACGGUGAAUACGUUCCCGGGCCUUGUACACACCGCCCGUCACACCAUGGGAGUGGGUUGCAAAAGAAGUAGGUAGCUUAACCUUCGGGAGGGCGCUUACCACUUUGUGAUUCAUGACUGGGGUGAAGUCGUAACAAGGUAACCGUAGGGGAACCUGCGGUUGGAUCACCUCCUUA